UCUCCGUAGGUGAACCUGCGGAGGGAUCAUUACCGAGCUCAUGCCCUACCGGGUAGAUCUCCCACCCUGUGUUAUUAUUACCUUUGUUGCUUUGGCGGGCCGCCGCGCUCCGGCCUGGCUACCGGCUCCGGCUGUAAGCGCCCGCCAGAGGACCCCAAACCCUGAAUGUUAGUGUCGUCUGAGUACUAUAUAAUAGUUAAAACUUUCAACAACGGAUCUCUUGGUUCUG
rnacentral:misc_RNA from 1 species